rnacentral:misc_RNA from 1 species
GACAUGACACCUUAUCUUUCUUCUUCCAUCUUGAGAAAUCGAUUUGGCAAUAGGAUUUUCCCAUUCGAUGGAGACGAACCAGAUGCUUCAAAUGAGAUGUCAUCAGAGUUUGAGUUGUUUGCUGUUGUCACGCACACAGGUAAACUUGAUGCUGGUCACUAUGUGACCUAUUUACGCCUAAGUAAUCAAUGGUACAAGUGUGAUGAUGCUUGGGUUACUCAAGUCAAUGAGAAUAUUGUGAGGGCUGCACAAGGCUACAUGAUGUUUUAUGUACAGAAGAUGCUUUAUUACAAAGCAAGUGAGAACCGGGCAGUCUCAUGAUAUAAUGACCAGAAAUGGUGGUUGACUCUGCUGCACUGGGAAAAAGUAAUGGAUGAAGUCAUGGUGGACAAAGUCUACAUCAGUAGAUGUCAUGGCUAAUUUUAUAUGCCAAGGAAACAAAUGUUGGAAAGCUGUUCUGCCAAUCAGCGAAGCUGAAGCAUCACACUUUAUUUGAGUUCUUCAAGUCACGGUUUAUUAUACUUGGAACAUAACGUGAGCCUGAAUUUUUGAGGCACUUCAACAUUUUGGAAAAUUAAUUUUUAUGAAGGUA